GGAAUAUUGCACAAUGGGCGCAAGCCUGAUGCAGCGACGCCGCGUGGGUGAAGAAGGUCUUCGGAUCGUAAAGCCCUUUUCUGCGUGACGAGAGAGGACGGUAGCGCAGGAAUAAGUCUCGGCUAACUACGUGCCAGCAGCCGCGGUAAAACGUAGGAGACAAACGUUAUCCGGAGUUACUGGGCGUAAAGGGCGGGUAGGCGGAAUGUUAAGUCUGGCGUGAAAGCUCUCGGCUAAACCGGGAGAGGUCGUUGGAUACUGGCAAACUAGAGGGUGGUAGAGGCGUGUGGAAUUCCGGGUGUAGUGGUGAAAUGCGUAGAGAUCCGGAGGAACACCAGUGGCGAAGGCGACACGCUGGGCCACACCUGACGCUAAAGCGCGACAGCAUGGGGAGCAA
rnacentral:rRNA from 1 species